UGGGUUUGCGUGGCAAGGUUUUGGUAGCGGGGGGGGCUACAGGGGUGGCUUCUGUGAGAAGCUGCUAGAAGCUCCCCCUGUGUCUGAUAGAGCCAAUGCCAGCCGGCUCUAAGACAGGCCUGCCGCUGGCCAAGGCCAAGCCAAUCAGCACCUCUGUGAUAACAUAUUUAAGAAGUAGAAAAACACUUGGAGAGAGAGCUUUUGCAGCCGGAGAGAGGAGUGAGAAGAUGUAAGAAACUCUGCAGACACCAAGCCCAUGGAGGAAGGAUGAGGGGGUGUAGCGAUUCCACCUGCAGCCCGUGGAGGACCCCACGCUGGAGCAGGUGGAGGCACCUGAAGGAGGCUGCGGCCCGUGGGAAGCCCACGCUGGAGCAAGUUCCAGGCCGGACCGGUGGACCCGUGAAGAGGGGAGCCCACGCCAGGGCAGGUUUGCUGGCAGGACUUGUGACCCUGUGGGGGACCCCACGCUGGAGCAGUUUGCUCCUGAAGGUCUGCACCCCGUGAGAGGGACUCCAUGCUGGAGCAGGGGAACGAUGAGAGGAGUCCUCCCCCUGAGGAUGAAGAAGCGGCAGAAACACCGUGAGAUGAACUGACCGUAACCCCCACUCCCUGUCCCCCUGUGCCGCUGAGGGGGGGAAGGUUGAAGCCGGGAGUGAAGUUGAGCCCGGGAAGAUGGGAGGGGUGGGGGGAAGUGUUUUAAGAGUUGAUUUUAUUUUCUCAUUCCUCUACUCUGUUUUGCCUAGUAAUAAAUUAGAUGAAUUCCCUCUCUAA